GCUUACCUCUUUAGUAGUCUGCCAAGUCUCUGUCUCUGUGGGUUGUUGGUUUCCUGUGUUGCCUACCUAAUCAAAGGUAUUUUGCUGGUUGAUUGUAGUCCCUUUUUAUCUAGUGUCUAUCCUAUGACACUUGAUAAACCAUGUAGUGGUUUCCUUGAUCCUCAUCGUCAAUGAAAUAUUUGAUAUUGUGGCUCAUUGAGCAUCGCUUGGUCUCUUGGAUACAAAACUUGAUGUUAGCAUAUUGGUUCUCAUGGAUUUUGUGGCUCAUUGAGCGAUCUCAUGUUAUCCUUUUAUUGCUCUCAUUUAGUGUUUGCGCAUCUCUACAUGGUGCUAGCAUGUUGGUUUUCAUGGAUUUUGUGGCUCAUUGAGCGAUCUAUGUUACCCUUUCAUUGCUCUCAUUUAGUGUUUGCGCAUCUCUACAUGGUGUUAGCAUAUUGGUUCUCAUGGAUUUUGUGGCUCAUUGAGCGAUCUCAUGUUAUCCUUUUAUUGCUCUCAUUUAGUGUUUGCGCAUCUCUACAUGGUGCUAGCAUGUUGGUUUUCAUGGAUUUUGUGGCUCAUUGAGCGAUCUAUGUUACCCUUUCAUUGCUCUCAUUUAGUGUUUGCGCUUCUCUUGAAAUGAUUGCUUCCCUUGCCUAGGCUCGUACCUGCAUGGGAGGCAUAUCAAAGAGGAAUGC
rnacentral:misc_RNA from 1 species